ensembl:lncRNA
AUCUUGCUGGAGCUCCCUCUCUGCCUGAGGUCUUCUGAAGAGGAGAGGAGCAGAUGCUUCUCACAUCCAGCAGUUCACACUGCAAGGAGCAGUUCCUCUGUUUCUGGAUGCGACGGCUGUUCAUUCUCUCAGCCCUUCCACCUGCAGGGAGGUGCCAUAUCCGUUACUCUGAGGAUUUGUUUCAGAAGCGGCCGCGUUUUGUUUGGCUGCAGCUCCGAAGUGAUGAGAUGAGAGCUCCUCCCUGGGACUGCUUUCCGCAGCUCCUUGCUUUCCGCUCUGGGAGUGGAGGAGCACAGAGCACAACAGCUACUAAUUAGCGUUAAUGGAGAGCUGACGGGUACUGCGAGGAGGAGAGGCUGACAGAGGAGCGAUCGCUUCUGGUGCAGAAAGAAACCCUUCUGUGAAGAGCAGUCACAAGAGGAGAUGACCCCACAGAGCUGUGCAGAACUGGCAAUAAAUUCGUGGAGUGAUUGAAACGAGGUGUGUAAGGUGUUUUAAGGCCACCUGUGAGUGCAUAAUUAUAUAUUCAGCUUUUGGUUGGAAAAAACACAGUAAAUUAAGAUUCUGCCUCUAAAGAGAGCUGGAAAAUGUCUUUACAUUUUUAAGUAGUUUUCAUAAAUCCUCUUCAGAGGGAUUGAUGGCACAGUUUGCAUUGUACGGUCAUCAUGUGGCACGGUGGUACCUUGGCUGGAAUAGUUGAGGUGAGGGCAGUCUGCUUUCCUGGCAAGCACCCCAGCAGCCCUCAGUCCCAGCAUGCCAUGUGCUUCUGUCUGCUCUGUGUUUCUCUGUGGGCUUUGAGCAGCAGCUCAGAUUUAGGAAAUGCCUAUCAGAAGUACUCCCCCAAUGCACUACGACUACUCGAUAUCACUAUGACUUCAUUCAUCCUUAUUACCUGCUGGAUCACUGCGGUGUAUUUUUACCUGAUGCACAGAGAGGCCAAAAUUAAAGAAGUGGAACUUGAGAGUGUGGGGUCCCUGUUUGCAUCCGCUUCUGUUUUAAGUUGGAUUGAAUAUUGUGCUUCACAAUAUGGAAGUGAAUGUGGUUGCAUUUGAGUGAACUGAAAUGUCUUCAAAUGUUGCCACAAGUGUAGAUCUGCUGUUGAGCAGCUGCCAAAAUGCUGCUGUUUGCUCAUUCCUAAGUAAAGAAAUGCCCC